CUACGGGCUGCAGCAGUGAGGAAUAUUGCGCAAUGGGGGAAACCCUGACGCAGCGACGCCGCGUGGAUGAUGAAGGCCUUCGGGUCGUAAAAUCCUGUCAGAAGGAAAGAAGUGUAUGGUAGCUAAUAUCUGCCAUACUUGACGGUACCUUCAAAGGAAGCACCGGCUAACUCCGUGCCAGCAGCCGCGGUAAUACGGAGGGUGCAAGCGUUGUUCGGAAUUACUGGGCGUAAAGCGCGCGUAGGCGGUUUUAUAAGUCAGAUGUGAAAGUCCACGGCUCAACCAUGGAAGUGCAUUUGAAACUGUAAGACUAGAGUAUUGGAGGGGGUAGUGGAAUUCCCGGUGUAGAGGUGAAAUUCGUAGAUAUCGGGAGGAAUACCGGUGGCGAAGGCGACUAUCUGGCCAAAUACUGACGCUGAGGUGCGAAAGCGUGGGGAGCAAACAGGAUUAGAUACCCCUGUAGUC
rnacentral:rRNA from 1 species